rnacentral:rRNA from 1 species
ACUCAAAUGAAUAGACGGGGGCCCGCACAAGCGGUGGAGUAUGUGGCUCAAUUCGAUGCAACGCGAAGAACCUUACCUGGGUUUGACAUGUACCGUGAAAGCCGAUGAAAGUCGGUGACGGCCCGAAAGGGUGCUGGGGGUACACAGGUGCUGCAUGGCUGUCGUCAGCUCGUGCCGUGAGGUGUUCGGUUAAGUCCGGUAACGAGCGCAACCCCUAUGUCCUGUUGCGAAGGCCGAAAGGCACUGCACUCUGGACAGACUGCCCUGUUUCAACGGGGAGGAAGGUGGGGAUGACGUCAAGUCCGUAUGGCCCUUACACCCAGGGCUGCACACGUACUACAAUGCCCGGUACAGAGGGACGCAAGACCGCGAGGUGGAGCAAAUCCCUAAAACCGGGCCCAGUUCAGAUUGUAGGCUGCAACUCGCCUACAUGAAGUUGGAAUCGCUAGUAAUGGCGCAUCAGCUACGGCGCCGUGAAUACGUUCCCGGGCCUUGUACACACCGCCCGU